CAGUUAUAUUUGGAAUGGGUCUUCAGAAAAGCUGCAGAGGAGUUAAUGAGAAUAGGAUGUUUGUACAAUUCUGUAAAUAGUUUUUAUAUUUCUGGGAGCAGUGAUCGUAUAUCUUGAUUCCUUCUCUCUAAGCUAGCCGGCCCUCCUGGGCUCGCAUUUAGCUUAAACCUCUGGCAAGAGUUCCAGAGCAUGGAGACCAGCUGAGGACCUGGUCCAGUGGGCGAGAUCCAAGAAAGCUCUCAGAUGCCGAAUGUGCAGCUGACAGGGACUUCAGGAGCCGGAGCCCAAGGAUGAUGGGGAAGAGGGAAAGCUGUGCGAGCCCGGAGCUACCCUCAGCCGAAGCUUUCGCUAGAUGUCCCUUUCCUGAGCCCACACAGGCACCGCAGACAGGUGCCCCAAGAGCUAGCCCUGUUCACUCAUGGCAUUACUAACGCACAGGGGAGUCAGUGUAAAGCCAGUUUGUAUCCCUGGUGUCUAGGACACUGUCUCCAAGACACUCCCCCCUCUGAGAGAACACCUCAGAAGAUAUUCCUUUUUCACUGUCUCUCCUGUUCACCUUUUUUGCUUACACUCUGUAGGGCAGAAGUAAAGGGCAGGUCAGUUGAUCAGCCUGGGUGGCCGGGCGCUCAGUGGAGAGGCAGUUCUCAGUUUCAUAAAGUCCUUUGGUACUGACUCGACUUGAGGUUUAGAACCUUUCUAUUUGUCUUGAAACAGUUGUAUUUCAAGUUCCUUGCUAAAACAGCUUAAAAAUGCUGAGAGAAUGAUUGGCGUAUAAUAUCUCAGCUUGUCACAUUGAUAUUGGUGAUCAGAGUAAUUUGCUCCAACAUGCAUGCUAAACCCUCAAAGGUUAGAGAUUCCUAAAAUACAAACACAGAGGAUGGAUUACUGCCCUCAUUUCCUGGUUUCUAAUCUACCGGUGAAGUGCUAAUAUUCCGCCAUGAAAUAGCUGUUACACCUCCAGGCAAUAAGAACAUCAGGACGUUUUGAUGAAAAGCAGACACCUGCCAAGCACACAAAGUCCUGUUCAACUUGGAGAAGCUGUGAACUUUGGAGGUGCUCCGGAUUCGUCACAGCCGUUCUCGCUCCUCCUCCUGCUCCUCCCCUCGUGGCCUGGUGCAGCACGGAGCCCUCCCCCACCCCGUCCCAUCUGCCCUUUGCUUUCUGCCUUUGGCUCUCAGUCAGAGUAGCACGGUGCUCUUCUUCGCUCUUCAAAACACCGUACGUAUUCGCAUUACGCUGUGUGACCGUGGACACGUCACUCAGAUUUCGCUAUGUCUUCUCUCUCUGUAAAACAGGAGCAGCAGGGCUUCCUCAGCUCGCUAGAAGGAGGAACACACUGAAAGCUGGGGGUGCCCGGUGGGACAGCCAUGGAGCUGGGCGACAGAGGACGUGCCACGUCCGUGUCACUGAGGGCUGCUGCCCUUGGCAAAAUAAAAUAGUAAAACAGUAAAAUAAUCAUACCGAGCCAAUAAAGGCAUCCUCCCUAACAGCUCUCGAGACUCAGUUGUUUUCAGGAUUCCAAGGGGUAUCCCUCUUCCAGUUUAACAGCAACUCUUUGCUCACCAAAGACAAUGCACGUCAGCGCUGCUGAGCAGCUCAUCAUUUCUGACAGCGCAGAGCUCCUGCUGUACAUAGGGCAGUAUUUAUAAUGUUUCUGCAA